GCUCGCUGACUUUCCUUCAUUAAUCUCCGAUGGUCGUUAUCUGUGGGCCCACUGGGCUAUCCCGCGCGUGCACGCGGAACCGGAGUUCUCGUGCACUCUAGAUUAUAGUGAAUGAGUGCCUUAUGUGGAGUCCAGCCAUGACCAAGAGACAGGAGCUAACACUCAGCUUCAUGGAAAGGCCUGACCUAAUGUCCAGGAAUAGUCUCCCAAGGAAGAGAAAAAAAACCCAGACCAGUAAGACUGCUGAAACCUACUGAAACAAGCUAAAUAGGUGACAUUGCAUGUAAACAUACAUACAUCUUUCUAUUCAUAGACAAGACACAAUAAAAAAUCUUGGAUAAAAUACUUCAAUUUACAUAUAUUACACAUUUUCAUUUUGCUGGUUGAUUAAUGACUACAAAGGAACCUGAACUCAUUUUAUGUGGAGAACAUUGGUAAAGAAGACAAGAGAAAUUCUGAAAAAGUACCUGAAAGUGAAGAUUCUAAGAGUGAAUUGGAUCUUUUUAAAUAAAAAGCUGUUGUUUCUCUUCUGUGGUAUUUAGAGUUGGGAGUGGUUAUAUGCAUGUUAUUUAUUCACUCAUGCAGUCAUUUAAGAUUUUCAUUUUCUUAAUUAUUUAGUAAAAUUUACCAACACGAGGUAAGAGUCAAGGUGAAGACUUAUUUUUA